rnacentral:rRNA from 1 species
AACGAACGCUGGCGGCAUGCCUAACACAUGCAAGUCGAACGAGACCUUCGUGUCUAGUGGCGCACGGGUGCGUAACGCGUGGGAACCUGCCCUUAGGUUCGGAAUAACUCCCCUAAAGGGGUGCUAAUACCGGAUAAUGUCUUCGGAUCAAAGAUUUAUCGCCUUUGGAUGGGCCGGCGUUGGUUUAGCUAGUUGGUAGGGUAAAAGCCUAUCAAGGCGACGAUCCAUAGCUGGUCUGAGAGGAUGAUCAGCCACACUGGGACUGAGACACGGCCCAGACUCCUACGGGAGGCAGCAGCGGGGAAUAUUGGACAAUGGGCGAAAGCCUGAUCCAGCAAUGCCGCGUGAGUGAUGAAGGCCUUAGGGUUGUAAAGCUCUUUUACCCGGGAUGAUAAUGACAGUACCGGGAGAAUAAGCUCCGGCUAACUCCGUG